AUUGAACGCUGGCGGAAUGCUUUACACAUGCAAGUCGAACGAUUAAAGCUCUCUUCGGAGAGUGCAUAGAGUGGCGCACGGGUGAGUAACACGUAAGUAAUCUACCCUCGAGUGGGGAAUAACAGUCGGAAACGACUGCUAAUACCGCAUAAUGCAGCGGCACCGCAAGGUGACAGUUGUUAAAGGAGCAAUCCGCUUGAGGAGGAGCUUGCGGCAGAUUAGCUAGUUGGUAAGGUAAUGGCUUACCAAGGCUACGAUCUGUAUCCGGUCUAAGAGGACGGUCGGACACACUGACACUGAAUAACGGGUCAGACUCCUACGGGAGGCAGCAGUCGGGAAUUUUGGGCAAUGGGCGAAAGCCUGACCCAGCAACGCCGCGUGAAGGAUGAAGUAUUUCGGUAUGUAAACUUCGAAAGAAUGGGAAGAAUAAAUGACGGUACCAUUUAUAAGCUCCGGCUAACUACGUGCCAGCAGCCGCAGUAACAC
rnacentral:rRNA from 1 species